AGAGGAUUUGAAAAGAGAAAAUUAAGAGGUUUGAGCUGCUACUACUGCGUAAUCGAAUUCAAUUAGUAAGUUUUAACUAAAGCUCCUCCACCGAGUCUAAGCACUGGCAAAGACGAUGUCGGCCGCGGUAGAGCAAUCGCGUAAGAAAGCGUCUCCGUCUCCGUCGUCUGGGUUAUGGUCUUUGCCAGAUGAGAUUGCUAUAGAUUGCUUUGCCCGCGUGUCAAGAGUAGACCAUGCAGCCUUAUCUAUGACCUCAAAGAGCAACCGCUCACUGGUGGUUUCGCCUGAGUUAUACGAGACACGAUCCCGGAUGGGUUGCACGGAGGAGUGCGUGUAUGUAUUCAUUGACUCUCCAUUUGAGCCAAACCCGCGCUGGUUCAUCCUCCGCCGAGGACGAGGCUCUGUAAAUAAUAAUCGGAAUCGGCUGAUCCCGAUCCCGUCGUUCCCAACUCCGCGAUCAGCGACCUUGGUUUCCCUGGGGUGUGGGAUCUAUGUAAUUGGCGGAUUUAAAAAAUGCUUGAAAACCGCGCUUGUCUCGUACCUGGAUUGUCGGACUCACACGUGGAGCUACCUCCCUUCCAUGAGUGUUGCUCGCGCUGAGGCCCGUGCUGGCGUCUUAGACGGCAAGAUAUACGUGUUUGGAGGCUGCGUGGAGGAUCCCUCAAUCUGGGCAGAGGUAUUCGACCCAAAGUUGCAAACUUGGAGUAGAGUUGUUAUCCCGGAGGACCUGAUGAAAGCGACAGAGGUUAGCAAGGUGGUGCAGGGGGAGGAGACUAUUACUGUGUCCUGCAACUUUCCGAGGGACAAGGUUUGUGGAAUGAUUUUAAUUUUUGUGCAACAGAUAGAUUGUUAUACUGUACUUAUGCCGACGGGUCUAUAAUGUGGUGUGACCCUCUGAGCGGGGUAAGGCAAGGGGCCAUGGUUUGGAGGCAUGUGUAUGGUUUAAAUGCUCUGAAACCCCUUUUAUCCACUUAUCCCGUUUCCGAUUCCAAUUCUAUCUUUUUCCGUGGGGACUUGGCUGAUGUGUGGCAGUGCUAUUUGCUCAGUCAUGGUCACAAAAACGGCCUCGAUGGCUUCAUGCCAGGCAACAAACUCGUCACCUCUUCUCGUGGCAACAUUCUCGUCUUCUGGGACGUCCUCGUUGGGGAUGCUGAUCCCAAGACACUGGAGAUUUGGUGUGCUGAGAUUUCGAUGCAGAUGUGGGAAGGCUACAUGUGGGGGAACGUCCUCUGGUCCGAGGUUGUCUUCUCCACUGACCCCCGCUUUGGAUUCCAUGUUUGCUACUCUGUUUCGCACUCUGUUUCUGUCCAUGUUUGAAUUAGCUGCUUCUCUACUUUUUUUUUUUUUUUUUUUUUUUUUUUGNUUAUUUAAGGUUUUAGUGAAAUCAUUACUCUUGUCUUGUAUCAUCAAAAGCUGCAUUAAGUUUGCUCUCUUUCCUUAUAUCUGGCUCCCCUAUUGGGUUUUCUUUUUGCUUUUGAAUAUUAUCUGCUUUUUUUUUUCAUUGCACCACAGUCCCCUUGUUCUAAGUUAUGUUUUCAUUAGCAGUUUUCUCAGGGUUAAUAUAUCUGCCAUUGACACACUGUGAAGGAAAAGUUUGUUGAAGAUCAUUUAUCCGCAGAUUCCAGUUCAGGGUGGCCUACCAUUGCCAGAAUAGCUCGUGGAUCUGGUUAUACAUUUUCUAAUGGUUGAUGACACUGAUCUGGCGUUAUUUGAGCAAAGUGCACAAGAGUAGCUGUAGAGGCUAUUUCUUCUAGGAUUUGGAUUAGUACGGGAAAGGUGAUCGGCGUAGCAAUUCUCGAAACUUUGUAGUAAACAAGAACGCGAGCCACCCUCAAAAGUAUUUCAUUCGUCUGAACUCAAUGAACAAAGACAGAAGGCGAUUAAGCAUUCACGACAUCACUCAUGGCUUAUGGAGUCCAUGCGGCCCCAGUCCCUGGCUCACAAGUUCCUGGUGCACCAAUGAACAUGGGUCGAAUGCUGUACACCAACGGCUCAUAGGUAACACGAAACACCUUUGUUUGUGACAGUGCACUUCGUUUUUGGUGUAAAAAAGAUGUGUAAAGGAUUUAGUGAACACCCAAUGUUCUUUUUAAAUGAGCUUUCUUAUUUUGUGGGGGUUGUUAUGAGGUUCCAAUAAAGAUGAUUAGAUUAGUUUGUGAACACAAUAAAGAAGCCUGUUAUGAAA